CUUGGUCAUUUAGAGGAAGUAAAAGUCGUAACAAGGUUUCCGUAGGUGAACCUGCGGAAGGAUCAUUAAUGAAUUCUAGGACGUUCUUUUUAGAAGUCCGACCCUUUCAUUUUCUUACACUGUGCACACACUUCUUUUUUACACACACUUUUAACACAUUAGUAUAAGAAUGUAAUAGUCUCUUGAUUGAGCAUAAAUAAAAACAAAACUUUCAGCAACGGAUCUCUUGGCUCUCGCAUCGAUGAAGAACGCAGCGAAUUGCGAUAAGUAAUGUGAAUUGCAGAAUUCAGUGAAUCAUCGAAUCUUUGAACGCACCUUGCACUCUUUGGUAUUCCGAAGAGUAUGUCUGUUUGAGUGUCAUGAAACUCUCAACCCCCCUAUUUUGUAAUGAGAUGGGCGUGGGCUUGGAUUAUGGCUGUCUGUCAGCGUAAUUGCCGGCUCAGCUGAAAUACACGAGCAACCCUAUUGAAAUAGACGGUUUGACUUGGCGUAAUAAUUAUUUCGCUAAGGACGUCUUCUUCAAAUAUAAGAGGUGCUUCUAAUGCGCUUUUUAAAGCAACUUAAGCUUUAGACCUCAAAUCAGUCAGGACUACCCGCUGAACUUAAGCAUAUCAAUAAGCGGAGGA
rnacentral:rRNA from 1 species